GGGAGAUCCAAACCAAAUCAGAUCGAGAAGCAACCAUGGAGCAGCAGAAGAAGAAAACAAAGAAGAGAAAAGAUGAAGAAGAUAUCAAAAAUCCAAACCCAAGCAAGGAAUGAAGCCAAUUUCAGAAUAUAAACAUAAAGUGAGCUUGGAGAUAGAGGGGACUAAAGAAAAACACAAGAUGAAAGAAAAUGCAGGAAUUAUUUCAAAUGCAGAAUCAAAUGAGAAUAGCAACAGUAUGACCCAAGGUACAGAUAUUCAUCAACUACAAGAUAUAAGGGGAAGUUUAAAAGAACCAGAGAAGGACAAAACAGAAACAAAGCAUAUUCAAGAAAGAAGUUCUACCAUCACACAAAAUUCAGGAAUAACUGCAACUCAAAUACCACAGAGCCCAGCAUUGCUACAUGAUGAGUUAAACAUGCUAAAACUCUCGAGCAACACCGGUAGCACAGUUAUCAUAUAUAAGUCUCAUGCACCAAGUGAUAAACAGUCCACGCAUAAACAUACAACCUAAUAUGGCAAGCCUAGAAAGUUUCACAAGUCUCCUUCAGACACCCUCGGCCUUUCAUUGCAGAAUUCAAUGAUCCUAACGACAAGCAGGUUUUCUCCUUAAAACACAGAGCUGAAUGACAGAAACAGUGCAAUAUCAUUGACCAAACCCGAAAAUCUAUCCAUCCAUCUGUGCUAAUCUUACAGAAAAAUCAACGGUCCAAAAAACGACAAAUCCAGCCACCAAAAAUCAUUCGACAAAUGUAUAGCAAUUUCGUCUAUUAUUGGUGCUACCAGGGGAGACAUAAGACGCAUUGCUA